rnacentral:tRNA from 1 species
GCGUCGGUGGUGUAAUGGCGUAGAGCAUUCCCGCUCGGUCAGAGGGAGGUGCGGGUUCGAGUCCCGCCCGGCGCU